UACGCCACUUCCCCUCCUCACGCACGCAUGCACGCACACCGCCGUCUCCCGCCCUCCCGGCCAAUCACGCCGGCUCAUUCCCUCCCACGUGAUCCCAGAGAGCUAGAGAGAGAGAGAGAAAGGCUCUCGAAAGAAGCUUCUUUUCUGCUGCCGCUCUCCUGCCCCCACGUGACUCUUACCUCCGGAGGAGAUGGAGGAGGAGCCGGGCUACGUCCGCUCGCACGUGACCUCCAGCGGCACUUCAAUUACGAUGUACAGAGAAAGCUUUUGAGGAAAUAAAAAGACUUUGCUUUAGACUAUCUGCCUAAUAAACCAUCUGUUUGGAUUGAAUAAGCAUCUAUUUGGAGCCAAGCAGUGCAGUUUGCAAACCACCAUCCGGAAAUAAAGAGGUGCACCACCGUCCCCUCAACAAGUUAACCGUGGCAGCGGAAAAACUCGCACUUCAGACAAAUCCACACAUUUGAUUUUAUACACCACUCUUGAACAUCAAAUUAAAAAAGUUACAAUUCACUGAACAGGUUGGUUGCAGCUUAGAACAUUUCAUUAUCAUUAUAUAUAUAUAUGUAUAUUUUAGAAAAAAGACAAAACAAUAUCCAGAUGAAAGACUGUGACAAACAGCAGAUCCUGUCGUAGGCAGCUUUGCAAAGAUCAAGGUACCGUGGGAGAAAGGCACGUUAACCUCUGAUUGGUCCUGUGUGCUGUCAUUUGGAUGAAAAUUGUAGUGACAUAUAACCCUGAGACUGUGGGAGGCUAUGAGCAAGAGUUGACCAGGUGCACAGGCCCAUUUUUAAAAGUACAAGUUUAACGAGGUUUAAGAUCCAGCACCCAGAUGACGACAUUCAUUUCACCUCAAGGGAAUGGAAGGAAACGGCAUUCUUCGUGCAAGGCUGGGAGGGACACUAGGGUCUCCAAAGCUGCUGGGAUUAUGUCUCAGAAACACCCCACUUGGUUUGACUUACGAGCAGAUUCACAAUUUCCCCAGGGUAUGUAUCUAACAGUGUAGCUUACCUGAUACUCAGGUAUCUAUCAGUGGAAUUUAGGGGGCGGGGCCUCCCCUAAAUCUGCUCUAGAGGAGCCCUGACUGCUGUGCAGCAGAUUUAAUAGGGGUAGCGUGGUUGUAGGGUAGAAAGGGGAAUUACAAAAA